UCUGGUGACGAUAGCAAAGAGGUCACACCUGUUCCCAUGCCGAACACAGAAGUUAAGCUCUUUAGCGCCGAUGGUAGUUGGGCUUA
rnacentral:rRNA from 1 species